AUUGAACGCUGGCGGCAGGCCUAACACAUGCAAGUCGAACGAGUGGCGGACGGGUGAGUAAUGUCUGGGAAACUGCCUGAUGGAGGGGGAUAACUACUGGAAACGGUAGCUAAUACCGCAUACCAUCAGAUGUGCCCAGAUGGGAUUAGCUUGUUGGUGGGGUAACGGCCCUCCCAGGCGACGAUCCCUAGCGGGUCUGAGAGGAUGACGUGCCUGACUGGAUCGGAGAAACGGUACAAACUCCUACGGGAGGCAGCAAUGGAGAAUAUUGUACAAUGGGCGCAAGACUGAUGCGGCCAUGCCGCUUGUGUGAAGAAGGCCAUCGGGUCGUAAAGCAGUUUCAGCGUGGAGGCGUUACUCGCAGAAGAAGCAACGGCUAACUCCGUGCCAGCAGCCGCGGUAAUAC
rnacentral:rRNA from 1 species